rnacentral:rRNA from 1 species
AUUGAACGCUGGCGGCAGGCCUAACACAUGCAAGUCGAGCGGAGCGGCGGAGGGGUGAGGAAUGCCAAGGAAUCGGCAUGGUAGUGAGGGACACCGUCAGGGAACGGGAGACAAUGCAGACAGCUAUAAGAGAAGCAUCGGUCGGAGUAGCUAGUUGGGGGGGUAAAGGACUACCAAGGCGACGAUCCGUAACCGGUCUGAGCGGAUGAUCAGUCACACUGGAACUGAGACACGGUCCAGACUCCUACGGGAGGCAGCAGUGGGGAAUAUUGGACAAUGGGCGAAAGCCUGAGCCAGCCAUGCCGCGUGUGUGAAGAAGGUCUUCGGAUUGUAAAGCACUUUUGGUAGGGAGGCGUUACCAACAGAAUAAGCACCGGCUAACUCCGUGCCAGCAGCCGCGGUAAUAC